rnacentral:rRNA from 1 species
GACAGAGGGUGCAACGUUGUUCGGAAUUACUGGGCGUAAAGGCGCGUGUAGGCGGCCCGGAAAGUCGGAUGUGAAAGCCCGUGGGCUUAACCCAGGAAGUGCAUUCGAAACUCCCGGGCUUGAGUUCUUGGAGAGGAAGGCGGAAUUCUCGGUGUAGAGGUGAAAUUCGUAGAUAUCGAGAGGAACACCGGUGGCGAAAGGCGGCCUUCUGGACAGUGACUGACGCUGGAGACGCGAAAGCGUGGGGAGCAAACAGG